rnacentral:rRNA from 1 species
GCAAGCUGUGGUCGGGGAGCGGGGAUAAGACAGUGGUCCGGGGCGUUGUGCGGGUUCACUGGUCUUAAAGGGUGCGUAGGCGGUCGGGUAAGUCUGAUGUGAAAUCGCACAUCUUAACUGUGAAACUGCAUUGGUUACUAUUCGGCUUGAGGGCUGGAGGGGGGACUGGAAUUCUCGGUGUAGCAGUGAAAUGCGUAGAUAUCGAGAGGAACACCAGUGGCGAAGGCGAGUCCCGGGACAGGUCCUGACGCUGAGGCACGAAAGCUAGGGGAGCAAACAGGAUUAGAUACCCCAGUAGUC